GUGAGGAAUAUUGGACAAUGGGCGCAAGCCUGAUCCAGCCAUGCCGCGUGCAGGAAGACGCAUCUAUGGUGUGUAAACUGCUUUUGUACGGGAAGAAACACUCCCUCGUGAGGGAGCUUGACGGUACCGUAAGAAUAAGGAUCGGCUAACUCCGUGCCAGCAGCCGCGGUAAUACGGAGGAUCCAAGCGUUAUCCGGAAUCAUUGGGUUUAAAGGGUCCGUAGGCGGUUUAAUAAGUCAGUGGUGAAAGCCCAUCGCUCAACGAUGGAACGGCCAUUGAUACUGUUAGACUUGAAUUACAGGGAAGUAACUAGAAUAUGUAGUGUAGCGGUGAAAUGCUUAGAUAUUACAUGGAAUACCAAUUGCGAAGGCAGGUUACUACUUGUGGAUUGACGCUGAUGGACGAAAGCGUGGGGAGCGAACAGGAUUAGAAACCCUUGUAGUCC
rnacentral:rRNA from 1 species